rnacentral:rRNA from 1 species
UACAGAGGUGGCAAGCGUUGUUCGGAAUUACUGGGCGUAAAGGGCGCGUAGGCGGCCUUCUAAGUCAGACGUGAAAUCCCCCGGCUUAACCUGGGAACUGCGUCUGAUACUGGGAGGCUUGAGUAUGGGAGAGGGAUGUAGAAUUCCAGGUGUAGCGGUGAAAUGCGUAGAUAUCUGGAGGAAUACCGGUGGCGAAGGCGGCAUCCUGGACCAUAACUGACGCUGAGGCGCGAAAGCUAAGGGGAGCAAACGGGG